rnacentral:rRNA from 1 species
UACGUAGGCAGCGAGCGUUGUUCGGAAUUACUGGGCGUAAAGAGUGUGUAGGCGGUGUUCCCAGUCUGUUGUGAAAUCUCCCGGCUUAACUGGGAGGGUGCAGCGGAAACUAGAAUGCUAGAGGGUGGGAGAGGUAAGGCGGAAUUCCGUGGUGUAGGCGGUGAAAUGCGUAGAUAUCAGGAGGAACACCUGUGGUGUAGACAGCUUACUGGACCACUUCUGACGCUGAGACACGAAAGCGUGGGUAGCAAACAGG